GAUGAACGCUGGCGGCGUGCCUAAUACAUGCAAGUCGAGCGAACAGACGAGGAGCUUGCUCCUCUGACGUUAGCGGCGGACGGGUGAGUAACAAGUGGAUAACCUACCUAUAAGACUGGGAUAACUUCGGGAAACCGGAGCUAAUACCGGAUAAUAUAUUGAACCGCAUGGUUCAAUAGUGAAAGACGGUUUUGCUGUCACUUAUAGAUGGAUCCGCGCCGCAUUAGCUAGUUGGUAAGGUAACGGCUUACCAAGGCAACGAUGCCUAGCCGACCUGAGAGGGUGAUCGGCCACACUGGAACUGAGACACGGUCCAGACUCCUACGGGAGGCAGCAGUAGGGAAUCUUCCGCAAUGGGCGAAAGCCUGACGGAGCAACGCCGCGUGAGUGAUGAAGGUCUUCGGAUCGUAAAACUCUGUUAUUAGGGAAGAACAAAUGUGUAAGUAACUAUGCACGUCUUGACGGUACCUAAUCAGAAAGCCACGGCUAACUACGUG
rnacentral:rRNA from 1 species